AACGAACGCUGGCGGCAUGCCUAACACAUGCAAGUCGAACGAGACCUACGGGUCUAGUGGCGCACGGGUGCGUAACGCGUGGGAAUCUGCCCUUUGCUUCGGAAUAACAGUUAGAAAUGACUGCUAAUACCGGAUGAUGUCUUCGGACCAAAGAUUUAUCAGCAAAGGAUGAGCCCGCGUAGGAUUAGGUAGUUGGUGGGGUAAAGGCCUACCAAGCCGACGAUCCUUAGCUGGUCUGAGAGGAUGAUCAGCCACACUGGGACUGAGACACGGCCCAGACUCCUACGGGAGGCAGCAGUGGGGAAUAUUGGACAAUGGGCGAAAGCCUGAUCCAGCAAUGCCGCGUGAGUGAUGAAGGCCUUAGGGUUGUAAAGCUCUUUUACCCGAGAUGAUAAUGACAGUAUCGGAGAAUAAGCUCCGGCUAACUCCGUGCCAGCAGCCGCGGU
rnacentral:rRNA from 1 species